rnacentral:rRNA from 1 species
AAUCAACGCUGGCGGCGUGCCUCAGACAUGCAAGUCGAACGAUUAAGACUCUCUUCGGAGAGUGUAUAAAGUGGCGCACGGGUGAGUAACACGUAGGUAAUGUACCGAAGGGUGGGGAAUAACUUAGGGAAACUUAAGCUAAUACCGCAUAAUGCAGCGGCUCGACAUCGAGACAGUUGUUAAAGGAGCAAUCCGCCUUUUGAGCAGCCUGCGGCAGAUUAGCUAGUUGGUAAGGUAAUGGCUUACCAAGGCUACGAUCUGUAACCGACCUGAGAGGGUGGUCGGUCACACUGACACUGAAUAACGGGUCAGACUCCUACGGGAGGCAGCAGUCGGGAAUUUUGGGCAAUGGGGCGAAAGCCUGACCCAGCAACGCCGCGUGAAGGGAUGAAGUAUUUCGGUAUGUAAACUUCGUAAGAAUAGGAAGAAUAAAUGACGGUACUAUUUGUAAGGUCCGGCUAACUACGUGCCAGCAGCCGCGGUAAU